GUUUGACAGAGAAGCAGCUGCAAGGAGGUACUGUGGAAGGGAAGCUGCGCUGACAAAGUGUUGGUCGGAGAAGCCGCUGCAAGGAGGUACUUUGGAAGACAUUUAUCCAUGAAAACCGGCAUGGUGUGCUGAUGGAGUGUUUGACGGAGAAGCAGCUGCAAGGAGGUACUGUGGAAG